GCCAACCUUUUUUUUAAACCUCAUUAGCUAUCGUUAGCGUUAGUGUAUUCUAUGUGUGGCCCAAGACAAUUCUUCCAAUGUGACCCAGGGAAGCCAAA